GGGACAUCUGGAGGACACCAAAUAAUUCAAGACUCUUGUCAUAGACAUUUCAAAUUUAAUUAUAUUGUAACUUAGUAAUAUAGAAUAUUUUUAAUCAAACUUGUGCACAUUUGGGUCAUUGUUGGCAAAAAUAUGAGGGCCCAAAAUUGUAGGACACAUGGCCUAGGGUUUUAUUUUUUUUAGGGUGGACCCCACCCUCACAAUUUUGACACCUCACAGUGCCUACGUAGGGUGCAGCCGCCACUUGCUUGGAAUUCACUUUUCAUUUUGGCAGCAGUUAUUCUCGGUAAAGGGAAUUUUUGGGGGAGGACUCUUGGCUGCUGGAACGUUUUUGAUUUGUUCUUGAAAAAAAUCAUGUUUUUGUUUUUUGACUUUGGUUGAAUGAAUAAGGAUUACAGUCGGCACACUCAUUCUCUUCUACUUUGUUUUUAAUGUUUUUUUUAGAUAGCUUUUAAUGCAUGAUAUUCACGGCCUAGGGAUAGAUGCAGCGCCAGUCAUGGAGAGUUUUUUUUUUUUUACUUUGAAGGUUGGAUAACAAAAUGAAGAAGCGCUGAUUUCUUUUGCUAAUGAUUUCCUUUCUUUUGAAGCAACAAUCACGGUCUGGAGGGAGUAGUUUAUUUAUUCCAUUCAACUUUCUUUUAGAAGAGUGAAGGCAUUGAUUGAAGAUAGAAUAGUAACGCUGCUGCAGUUGCCACCUAGGACAGCCCACUUUCAUUUUCUCUUUCAUUUGAAUAUGAUGCACGGUUUUCCAUGGGAUGAGCUGCCAAGUGAUUCAAUGGGAACCACACAUUGCUUAUUUAUGUUUAAAGGGGCUGCUACGUGAUUAAUGGAAGAGCACACAUGAUUUUUAUUUGCUUUGAUAAAUGACGUGCUG
rnacentral:lncRNA from 1 species